rnacentral:lncRNA from 1 species
GAGUGUAAGUAGGAAGAUGAACUCUUGAAUCUUGUAAUCAAGAAGCCCCAACCCACUUGCUAUGAAGCCUUCAAACAUUCUUGCAGAAUGCAUAUAGCACGGGUAGUGAUGGAUCUUCCUCCUUAUAAAAUUAUCCCUAAGAGAAUGAAAGGUUUGCAUCUGUUGAAAUGGGAGAGUAGUUUAGGCGAUUAUUAGCAAAACCUCAACAAGAAUUUCCAGAAAGUGUGAUGGAAAUUAGAGGAAAAGGAUAAUUUAAUGUGGUGGAGCUAACUCGCAAGUCUUUAUUCCCUGCAACUGCGUAUGAUCUUUGUAUGAAGCUGAAGGAAAAAGAAAUUCUUGCAAAACCGACUCAUAAUGCUAAUAUUGGGUUGAACUCCUCUUUCCAUCAGGACAUCCUUGCUAAUCUUGAAUGCUCACUGCUUGUGGCCUGAUGUCAUAAGUGUUUUAGUCGUAACUGUACAUGGUAAUGUUCAUGUCCUGCUCAAGCUCGUAAUUUAAGGGAUUC